AGUCGAGCGGUAAGGCUCCUUCGGGAGUACACGAGCGGCGAACGGGUGAGUAACACGUGAGCAAUCUGCCCUUCACAUCGGGAUAACUCCGGGAAACCGGUGCUAAUACCGAAUACGACCACUUCAGGCAUCUGAUGGUGGUGGAAAGUUCCGGCGGUGAAGGAUGAGCUCGCGGCCUAUCAGCUUGUUGGUGGGGUAACGGCCCACCAAGGCAACGACGGGUAGCCGGCCUGAGAGGGUGACCGGCCACACUGGGACUGAGACACGGCCCAGACUCCUACGGGAGGCAGCAGUGGGGAAUAUUGGACAAUGGGCGAAAGCCUGAUCCAGCAACGCCGCGUGAGGGAUGACGGCCUUCGGGUUGUAAACCUCUUUCAUCCACGACAAAGCGAAAGUGACGGUAGUGGGAAAAGAAGCACCGGCCCACUACGUGCCAGC
rnacentral:rRNA from 1 species